rnacentral:lncRNA from 10 species
CACCAAACACACAGGCAUGAAAUACACUCAUGGGCUUGUCCACAUGCACACCUGCCACAAACACCCAUCAUAAGCCUCCAGGUAAACAAUAUGGGCAUGCGCACUUAUACACACACUUGCACACACAUACACAUUUUUGGAGGCUUGAAUGCACACCCACGCCCAACACACACCCCCUCAGGCAGGCACACAUGGGUCCCCUAAACAUGGACUCAGUCUUCCUACAGGAGAAUUUCUAUUCUGAGCAAACACCCAGCAUCUGCAGUCAAUGGCAAACAGAUGAAUGGGACAAAAUUCACUCAUGUGUCCUGGUGGCCCUACCAAUACAGCCCUGAAGGAGCAGGCAGCAGGCUUAUCCCUUCACCAGCAGGCCUUCAGAAGGGCAAGACCAGGGUGGGGAUCAGGUUUGGCCAGGAGAACACUCAGAGCUUCUGGGUACUGACUCAAAGCCAGGGGCCGACAGCCUUGUGCAUUCCUGACAAGUAGGUCACCAUGACAAGGAGCACUGGCUCACAUGCUGGGACCUACGGUGACUGGAAAAGACUUGGGGAAAAUCCAGCUGUUGUGAGACAGCCAGUGUUAGUAGGUGCUGCCUUCCCAUACCAGUGAGUUAGGUUGGGUCUAUGCAGCACCGGAGCUAUGGAGUGUGUGUCAGCGGCAAGGGCUCCUGCUCAGCACAGCAAAGACUAGGAGAAGAAGAGGGCAGUGGCUUACCAGGGACUGUAGCGCUGGGAAGGACGGGUGAGGCAGGGGACACAUUAUGAAUAGUGUUAUUUUUUAGCACACCAGUGUGUUAGGCACUGUGCUGGGUGUUUUUCAUGUAUUAUCUUGCAAGAUACAGCCCUGCAAGUUAGAUUUUAUUGCCUCCAUUUUACAGAUGAGGAGACUGAGGCUCAGAGGGCUUAAAUAAAUUACUCUAGGUCUUCAGCUAAUAGGGGCAGAGCUCAGAUAUGAGUCAAGGCUUGUCUGACUCCAGAUCUCAGACUUUCUCAACAUCUUCAUGUUGAAGCUAAAACUUGCAUUUUAAACUAUCAAAAGCAAGAGGGAUCUAAGGAGACAUGGCAACUAAAGGUACUGUGGUAUCCCGGAUGGGAUCCUGGGACAGAAAAUAAACAUGAACUUUAGUUAAUGACAAUUUUAAUUGUGAUACAUGUACUUUACUAAUGCAAAAGUGUUAAUAAUAGAGGAAACUGGGUGCAGGGUAUACAGGAACUAUUUAUACUAUCUUAAUGAUUCUUCAAAUCUAAAACUGUCCUAAAAUAAAAGACUUAUUUUUUAAACUUUGCAUUUUUGCCAGCAGCAGGAAGCAGUAGAUAACCAACAUUCCAAGGUGCAGCCUGUGUAUAAGGCCUGAAGAGGCCAGGGCCCCUGGAAAGUUUCUCAAAAUAAGAGGCCAUUCUGGACUUUGUACCACUGAGUUCCCAUCACCUACAUAACUUGAAAUAGAGACAUUAAUUGCAGGGCUGUGAUCACAGCCAACACCACCUUCCUAAAUGGGGCAAAAGGGCGCUGAAGUCGGGCAGAGCAGCUGCAAACUGGCAUGAAUUCCCAAGGCUGUGACAGAGAAUUCUUGCUGGGUGUGCCUGUACCUCCCUGACAAUGUGGCCUGGCCAAGCUGACGUCCCUCCAUUUUCUCAACUGUUGCCACUAGAAUGUAGUAGGAACAAUGUAUAAGUCUUAUACUUCUUUUAUUAAAUUUAUUCUUAGAUAUCUUAUUCUUAGUAAUACUACUAUAAAUGUAGUUGCUUUCUUGAUUUCAUUUUCUGAUAUUUUAUUUCUAGUACAUGAAAAUAAAAUUCAUUUUUGUAUAUUGAUCUUAUGUUUUGUCACCUUGCUGAGCUUGCUUAUCAGUCCUAACAGUUUUUUAGUGGAUUCCUUAGGAUUUUCUAUAUACUGCAAGAUUAUGGCAUCUACAAAUAAAGAUAGUUUAAGUUCUUUCUUUCCAA